rnacentral:rRNA from 1 species
CCUACGGGAGGCAGCAGUGGGGAAUAUUGCACAAUGGGGGAAACCCUGAUGCAGCGACGCCGCGUGAAGGAAGAAGUAUCUCGGUAUGUAAACUUCUAUCGGCAGGGAAGAAAACGGACGGUACCUGACUAAGAAGCCCCGGCUAACUACGUGCCAGCAGCCGCGGUAAUACGUAGGGGGCAAGCGUUAUCCGGAUUUACUGGGUGUAAAGGGAGCGCAGACGGCUGUGCAAGUCUGGAGUGAAAGGCGGGGGCCCAACCCCCGGCCUG